rnacentral:lncRNA from 1 species
CCUUCCCCUCCCCCCUGCCUCCCUCUUGGCUUGUAGGGCGGUGUCCCCCUCCCCCCCUCGUCCCCUGGGCACUGGCCCUUCCCCCUUCUCAGGCUGGCACCUCCACCCCUUAACUGCUCCUCCUCUCCACUUCAUCGGGCUUAUUCCCUCUCUGUUCCCCUCCUCCACUCAGGCCAUCCCCCACCAUCUCAAUUCAGACCCCAGCCUGGCUCUGACCUCCUUUUCCUCCCCUUCCUCACCCCCGGCCCCCAUCCCCGGCCCGGAAUCGCCAAAACCUAGUCUGACCCUGCCUCUUUUUGGAGAUGCUUGCUUGUUUCCCUCGCCCACGCCUAGGGCUUUGGGAAGUAUUUUCUAGCCCCUGAAGCUGAGAGUUCUUUCCACCACCGCUACCCCGCUCCCAAAAAGUAAAUGGGGAAGGGGGGCGCUACAAUGACCGUGAGGGUAAAUGGAACCCUCCCCUUAUUGGUCAGGAGAGUGAAUGGAAUUCCCCCAUUGGCCAGGCGGGUGAAUGGAAUCCCCCCUUUAUUGGCCCUGAAGGGGUUCAUUCCCCCCAUUCCUGACUGUAUCCAGUUCCGAGCCUUUCCAACCGAGACGCCCCUCCUCAUCCCUCCGCAGAGCAAGUUGGAGCCGAUGUUUGCUCUAUGCCUGGAUUGUUCUCUGGCCCCACACUUUACAGCCCAACUGAAACAGCAGCUUCUCCAGUAAGUCUUCGUGACACCUGUGCUUUGGAAUAAUUUUGUCCCUUGUAACUCGUGUAGCAUUUU